rnacentral:lncRNA from 1 species
CGGGCAGCUGCUUUCUCCCUCUCGGGUUGCGUCGCCACUUUAUUCCUCCAACGCUCCAUUCGGAGAUCCGAGCCAUGGCCCCUCUCGGAAGAAAGCGUAAGGCCGGGGCCGCGCCUAUCGAGUCGGCGGACAAGCGCGAGAAACUGGCGGAGGGCGCGGCCGUGGUCAUUGAGCAUUGUACGAGCUGACGUGUCUACGGCCGCCAUGCUGCUGCCCUGAGCCAGGCUCUGCAACUGGAGGCCCCAGAGAUAUCUGUGCAAGUGAACCGGUCCAAGCCGCGGAGGGGCAGCUUCGAAGUGACGCUGCUGCGCCCGGACAACAGUCGUGUUGAACUCUGGACUGGUAUUAAGAAGGGCCCUCCACGAAAGCUCAAAUUUCCUGAGCCUCAAGAGAUGGUUGAAGAAUUGAAGAAGUACCUUUCAUAAGAGCUUUCAGUCCCUGGAGAUGUUGAAGCAUUUAUGAUGGUGCAUGGCCAAACUUAAGCUAUGUACCUGAAGCCAUAGUUUCUUCCUCACCAGAAGUGAUGGUUCAGUUCUGAGGCAGAUCUCCAGCAAGGCACUGUAAAAGUGUGUUGAUUUGUUUAAUAAAAGUUCAAGUAUUUGCAAAU